UGGGGAAUAUUGCGCAAUGGGCGAAAGCCUGACGCAGCGACGCCGCGUGAGGGAUGAAGGUUUUCGGAUCGUAAACCUCUGUCAGAAGGGAAGAAACCGCACUGUGCUAAUCAGCAGUGCCUUGACGGUACCUUCAAAGGAAGCACCGGCUAACUCCGUGCCAGCAGCCGCGGUAAUACGGAGGGUGCAAGCGUUAAUCGGAAUUACUGGGCGUAAAGCGCACGUAGGCUGCUUUGUAAGUCAGGGGUGAAAUCCCACGGCUCAACCGUGGAACUGCCUUUGAUACUGCUUAGCUUGAAUCCGAGAGAGGGUGGCGGAAUUCCAGGUGUAGGAGUGAAAUCCGUAGAUAUCUGGAGGAACAUCAGUGGCGAAGGCGGCCACCUGGACCGGUAUUGACGCUGAGGUGCGAAAGCGUGGGGAGCAAACAGG
rnacentral:rRNA from 1 species